UGAGGAACAUGACCUUCGGCGGGGGAUAGCCGGCCCAACGGCCGGGUAAUACCGCGUACGACCACAUGGGGACAUCCCUGAGUGGUGAAAGCAGCAAUGCGCCGAUGGAGCGCCUCGCGGCCUAUCAGCUAGUUGGUGAGGUAACGGCUCACCAAGGCGACGACGGGUAGCCGGCCUGAGAGGGCGAUCGGCCACACUGGGACUGAGACACGGCCCAGACUCCGUACGGGGAGCAG
rnacentral:rRNA from 1 species